rnacentral:rRNA from 1 species
GAUGAACGCUGGCGGCGUGCCUAAUACAUGCAAGUCGAGCGAACGGACGAGAAGCUUGCUUCUCUGAUGUUAGCGGCGGACGGGUGAGUAAAACGUGGAUAACCUACCUAUAAGACUGGGAUAACUUCGGGAAACCGGAGCUAAUACCGGAUAAUAUUAUGAACCGCAUGGUUCAAAAGUGAAAGACGGUCUUGCUGUCACUUAUAGAUGGAUCCGCGCUGCAUUAGCUAGUUGGUAAGGUAACGGCUUACCAAGGCAACGAUGCAUAGCCGACCUGAGAGGGUGAUCGGCCACACUGGAACUGAGACACGGUCCAGACUCCUACGGGAGGCAGCAGUAGGGAAUCUUCCGCAAUGGGCGAAAGCCUGACGGAGCAACGCCGCGUGAGUGAUGAAGGUCUUCGGAUCGUAAAACUCUGUUAUUAGGGAAGAACAUAUGUGUAAGUAACUGUGCACAUCUUGACGGUACCUAAUCAGAAAGCCACGGCUAACUACGUG